GAUUUUUUAAUGGCCGCGGUAUUUUGACCGUGCAAAGGUAGCAUAAUCAUUAGUUUAUUAAUUGUAAACUGGAAUGAAUGGUUGGACGAAAUAUUAGCUGUCUCAUUUUUAAUAUUUGAAUUUAAAUUUUAAGUUAAAAUGCUUAAAUUUUUUUAAAGGACGAGAAGACCCUAUAGAUCUUGAUUAUAUUUUUUAAUAUUUUUUAUAGCUUAUUAAUUUUUUAUUGAAUUUUUAUUUUUUGGUUGGGGUGACAUUGGGAUAUAAUUAACUCCUUAUUAUUUAUUCAAUUAUUUUUGUUUAAUUGACCUUUUAUUAUUGUUUAAAGAUAUAGAUACCUUAGGGAUAACAGCGUAAUUCUUUUUGAGAGUUCAUAUUGACAAGGGAGAUUGCGACCUCGAUGUUGGAUUAAGAUUAUAAAUUGGUGUAGUAGCUAAAUUAUUAGGUCUGUUCGACCUUUAAAUUCUUACAUGAUCUGAGUUCAAACCGG
rnacentral:rRNA from 1 species